rnacentral:rRNA from 1 species
CUUCGGGUUUAGUGGCGGACGGGUGAGUAACGCGUGAGAAUCUUGCCCUCAAGGAGGGGGAUAACGGCUGGAAACGGCCGCUAAUACCCCAUAUGCCGAGAGGUGAAAUGAAUUUUCCCCUGAAGAUGAGCUCGCCCGUCUGAUUAACUAGUUGGGGUGGGAAAGGCUCACCCAAGGCAUCCAUCCAUAUCUGGUCUGAGAGGAUGAUCACCCCCCCUUGGGGUUGGAAACACGGCCCAAACCUCCCUUCGGGGGGCGAGAGUGGGGAUUUUUCUACUAUGGGGGCAAGCUUGAGUGAACAACCCCCGCGCGGGGGAAGAAGGCCCUCGGGGUUGAAAACCCUUUUUUUUAGAGAGAAAAAAAA